GACGAACCGAGCGAACGUUGUUCGGAAUCACUGGGCUUAAAGGGCGCGUAGGCGGGUGCUCAAGUCCGGGGUGAAAUCCCACAGCUCAACUGUGGAACUGCCUCGGAUACUGGGCGUCUCGAGGGUGGCAGGGGUAUGCGGAACUAUCGGUGGAGCGGUGAAAUGCGUUGAUAUCGAUAGGAACUCCGGUGGCGAAGGCGGCAUACUGGUCCACUUCUGACGCUGAGGCGCGAAAGCCAGGGGAGCAAACGGGG
rnacentral:rRNA from 1 species